UGGGGAAUAUUGCGCAAUGGCCGAAAGGCUGACGCAGCAACGCCGCGUGGGUGAUGAAGGCUUUCGGGUCGUAAAGCCCUGUCAGCGGGGAAGAAACUCCGGGGAGCGAAUAGGUCUCCGGAUUGACGGUACCCGCGGAGGAAGCACCGGCUAACUCCGUGCCAGCAGCCGCGGUAAAACGGAGGGUGCGAGCGUUGUUCGGAAUUACUGGGCGUAAAGCGCGUGCAGGUGGUCUUUUAAGUUCCGUGUGAAAUCCCUCGGCUUAACCGGGGAACGGCGCGGAAAACUGGAAGACUUGAGUAUGGGAGAAGAGGGCGGAAUUCCCAGUGUAGAGGUGAAAUUCGUAGAUAUUGGGAGGAACACCGGUGGCGAAAGCGGCUCUCUAGACCAAUACUGACACUCAUACGCGAAAGCGUGGGUAGCAAACAGGAUUAGAUACCCCUGUAGUCC
rnacentral:rRNA from 1 species